UCAGAUAGCUCAGUUGUAGAGCAGAAGACUGAAAUCU
rnacentral:tRNA from 1 species